GUCCCUGUAGCUCAAUGGAUAGAGCGUUGGACUUCUAAUCCAAAGAGCGUGGAUUUGAAUCCCACCUGGAAUG